AAGAAAUUUCUCUCCAAUAGUUAAAGCAUGCAAUUUGCUCCUGGAGUCAACCUCUUGCCCUACCCAGACAAAGAUCUCGGAGUGACAAUCCAAGAUGUAUAUGUCUUCAGUCAUCAAAUCAUCUUGGGUAAAGUUGUAUAUCUCAGCCACCUUCAGAUUUCCGUUUGAGAAUGUGCAAGAGAAAAGGCGAGGAUCCUUUUCAGCUUCCCUUCCAAUUUUUUGGCUGGGAUAUUCAGUUUUUCCUCCUAACAGAUCCCAAAAUUGCUCAGAUUCUGAACCUUCCUUUUGUGGCUUGGACUGUACAUUUGGCUUUAUCAGAUCCAACUGCCUUUCCACAAGUUCAUGGUCAUCUGAAGUUGUAAGGUUUCCAGACCAUGUAAAUACAGAGGAGUCAUUGUGCAAUAUGUAACAGUAAGAGGAAUUCAGUGACGAUGCAACUGGUUCAACUUGUAUUGAUUGCAUAUUAUCCGGUCCAGAACCCUGAACCCGGAAUAAUGCAACGCUGUCCUCCUUAUAUGUCUCAUCUGGGAGUUCCGUCUCCGCAAUAUAAUUCUUGUAUCCAGUGCUAAGACCACCCUUAAAAACAAUAAAGCUCUGCAAGAUUGUAAAGAACUGAAUUGGUUCAUUUCCUUCAUAGAUGCGAGCCUGGGAGGGCAGAAACUUUAAUGAUUCAACCAUCUUGCUUGCUAGUGAAAUAGCAGAAGCUCUUUCCUCCUCAACGCUCUUCUUCCCAAACCAUGUUCCUAUAAGAUA
rnacentral:misc_RNA from 1 species